GCGCAGUUGGAGUAGUGGUUAACUUGUUGCCCUCCCAUGAGGCAGGCAGAGAGUGAGUUCCCAGUUCCUACCUUGGAUAUAUCCCUGACUGACUUAAACAGCACUGGUUCGAACCCGGUACUGCGCA